rnacentral:rRNA from 1 species
AGUCGAGCGAACGAUGAGAAGCUUGCUUCUCUGAUGUUAGCGGCGGUCGGGUGAGUAACACGUGGGUAACCUACCUAUAAGACUGGGAUAACUCCGGGAAACCGGGGCUAAUACCGGAUAAUAUUUUGAACCGCAUGGUUCAAUAGUGAAAGACGGUUUCGGCUGUCACUUAUAGAUGGACCCGCGCCGUAUUAGCUAGUUGGUAAGGUAACGGCUUACCAAGGCGACGAUACGUAGCCGACCUGAGAGGGUGAUCGGCCACACUGGAACUGAGACACGGUCCAGACUCCUACGGGAGGCAGCAGUAGGGAAUCUUCCGCAAUGGGCGAAAGCCUGACGGAGCAACGCCGCGUGAGUGAUGAAGGUCUUCGGAUCGUAAAACUCUGUUGUUAGGGAAGAACAAAUUUGUUAGUAACUGAACAAGUCUUGACGGUACCUAACCAGAAAGCCACGGCUAACUACGUGCCAGCAGCCGCGGUAAUACGUAGGUGGCAAGCGUUAUCCGGAAUUAUUGGGCGUAAAGCGCGCGUAGGCGGUUUCUUAAGUCUGAUGUGAAAGCCCACGG